UGCUUAUCAGUGGGCCAGAUGGGCAGGGCA
rnacentral:piRNA from 1 species